UCGAGAAUCUUCCGCAAUGGGCGAAAGCCUGACGGAGCGAUGCCGCGUGAGGGAUGAAGGUCUUCGGAUUGUAAACCUCUGUCACCUGGGAGGAAAUAAAUGACUGUACCAGGAGAGGAAGCUACGGCUAACUACGUGCCAGCAGCCGCGGUAAUACGUAGGUAGCGAGCGUUGUUCGGAUUUAUUGGGCGUAAAGGGUCCGCCGGGGGCCGAUUAAGUCUGAUGUGAAAUACCAAGGCUCAACCUUGGAACUGCAUUGGAAACUGAUUGGCUAGAGCAUCGGAGAGGAGAAUGGAAUUCCAGGUGUAGCGGUGGAAUGCGUAGAUAUCUGGAAGAACACCGAAGGCGAAGGCAGUUCUCUGGACGAUUGCUGACCCUCAGGGACGAAAGCAUGGGGAGCAAACA
rnacentral:rRNA from 1 species